rnacentral:rRNA from 1 species
CCUACGGGUGGCAGCAGUGAGGAAUAUUGGUCAAUGGACGAGAGUCUGAACCAGCCAAGUAGCGUGAAGGAUGACUGCCCUAUGGGUUGUAAACUUCUUUUAUAUGGGAAUAAAACGUUCCACGUGUGGGAUUUUGUAUGUACCAUAUGAAUAAGGAUCGGCUAACUCCGUGCCAGCAGCCGCGGUAAUACGGAGGAUCCGAGCGUUAUCCGGAUUUAUUGGGUUUAAAGGGAGCGUAGGUGGAUUGUUAAGUCAGUUGUGAAAGUUUGCGGCUCAACCGUAAAAUUGCAGUUGAAACUGGCAGUCUUGAGUACAGUAGAGGUGGGCAGAAUUCGUGGUGUAGCGGUGAAAUGCUUAGAGAUCACGAAGAACUCCGAUUGCGAAGGCAGUUCACUGGACUGCAACUGACACUGAGGCUCGAAAGUGUGGGUAUCAAACAGGAUUAGAUACCCCUGUAGUC